rnacentral:rRNA from 1 species
ACCGGGAGCGCGAACACUGGCAGCGGCAGGCAGGCACCACCAUGCUCGGCGCCGUCCUCCGGAUGCGGCUCCGCGUGCUCCGCCGCCACCUCCGCCUCCGCCUCCACGGCCGCAGGCGGCGGCGGCGCUGUCGGUCCCGGAGAGGGGGCGGCGGCGCGGCGGGGGGCGAGGAGGAGGGGGCGCGCGAGCCGGUGCUGCUCGUGUCCGGGAUGGGCGGGUCCGUGCUGCACGCGCGGCGGCGGUCCGACCCCAAGUUCGACCUCCGGGUCUGGGUGCGCAUCCUCCUCGCCGACCUCGAGUUCAAGAAGUACCUCUGGUCGCUCUACAACGCCCAAACCGGGUAUGUGGAAUCGUUGGACGACGAUGUGGAGAUUGUGGUGCCGGACGACGAUCAUGGGCUGUUCGCCAUCGACGUUCUCGAUCCUUCCUGGUUUGUAGAGCUACUGCAUCUGACUAUGGUGUAUCAUUUCCAUGAUAUGAUUGAUAUGCUCCUUGACUGUGGAUACGAGAAAGGAACAACACUAUUUGGAUAUGGUUAUGAUUUUCGUCAAAGCAACAGACAAAGCAAUGGCUGGUUUGAGAGCAAAACUUGAGACGGCUUACAAGGCCUCUGGUGGGAAAAAAGUAAACAUAAUCUCCCAUUCUAUGGGAGGAUUGCUAGUACGCUGUUUCAUGUCUAUGAAUCAUGAUAUAUUUUCGAAGUAUGUCAAUAAAUGGAUUUGCAUUGCUUGUCCAUUUCAAGGUGCCCCAGGAUGCAUCAAUGAUUCUCUUCUAACUGGACUGCAGUUUGUUUAUGGUUUUGAAAGUUUCUUUUUCGUUUCUCGAUGGGCGAUGCACCAACUGCUGGUUGAGUGCCCAUCAAUCUACGAAAUGCUGCCAAAUCCAAACUUUGAGUGGAAGGAAAAACCAAUCGUUCAGGUUUGGCGAAAGAAUCCUGAAAAGGAUGGAACAGUAAAGCUAGUUUUGUAUGAAGCAACUGAUUGUGUUUCUCUGUUUGAAGAAGCUUUACAAAAUAAUGAGCUCAAUUAUAAUGGGAAGACAAUUGCACUACCAUUCAAUAUGUCCAUCUACAAAUGGGCUACUGAGACUCGCCGUAUUCUCGAGAAUGCUGAACUACCAGAUACCGUGAGUUUUUAUAGUAUACAUGGGACAUCUUAUGAAACACCAUAUGAUGUUUGCUAUGGCUCUGAAAGCUCCCCAAUUGGAGAUCUCUCAGAAGUGUGCCGCACAGUGCCUACAUACACAUAUGUGGAUGGAGAUUGCACCGUUCCUGUCGAAUCAGCCACGGCUGAUGGGUUCCCAGCGAAAGAAAGGGUAGGCGUCAGGGCCGACCACCGAGGGCUGCUGUGUGAUGAGAAUGUGUUCAAGCUUCUCAAGAAAUGGCUCGGCGUAAGUGAGAACGCACGGGGUAGGGUGUCGAAAUCGCAAAUCAUGGACAUGCCCCCAGAGAGGAUCCCUGAUCAGGCCAGUCUCUGAUAGAUAUGGCAUCGAUUUCUUCGAGGGAACGGUUAUUUUGGUCCUUUCCCUUGAAGAGACGGGCACGCGAUGUACCGGUAAUUGUGUACAAAAUUUAUCUACCAUGUGGAACAUUGUGAAAAACUUCAUGGGCAUAUAUUACGUUGUAGUAUAUCAAUAUAUCAUAUGUGCCUGGAAACUUCUGCAAAAUAGUGUUGCCCGCCUCCUUGGAUGUCCACUGAUUGGACGUUGGGCUCUUGUAACUAUAACCUCAAGCGUCCAGGAGGUAUUUGGUGAGUUACCUUGAUUCCUUGGUUGGACUUAAAAUUGAUCUAUCUUCUGAUCCGAGCAAAGGGAAGUCCUUAGUUACAUAUGACAGGCCACUUAAAAAAUUCACAUGUUCGAAUAGUUGAGAGCACUCCUGUCAAUUGGUGUCCCCCUAUGGCUGGCUGGGUGAAACUGAAUACUGAUGGGCCCUUUGCAGAAAAUGGUACGGCUGGUGCGGGGAUGGUGCUGCGAGAUGAUAGAGGCCUGUCUUUUGCAAUUCAGAGAAGCGACUUGCCGAUCAUUAUUGAGAUGGACUCCAUUGUUGCAGUUAAGCUGAUUCAAGCGAUAGAUAUUGAUAGAUCGAUCUACUCUUCUUUAGUUAAAGAAAUUAGACACCUGAUGUAUUACUCAUAUAAAUCGUAUGCAAAAUAAGGUUAGCGAUAGCUUAGUAAAGUUUGCUAGACAAGAGGGCAGAACAAUGACCUGGGUUGGCUCAGGCCCAUCAGUUUCUUUAGAGCUAGCCGAGGCUGAUUGUAAGGACAUUGAGAUUUGAGUAAUACAAAGAUUUUACC